AUGAACGCUGGCGGCGUGCCUAAUACAUGCAAGUCGAGCGGAAAGGCCCUUCGGGGUACUCGAGCGGCGGACGGGUGAGUAACGCGUAAGAAUGUACCCCAAAGUGAGGGAUAAGCACCAGAAAUGGUGUCUAAUACCGCAUGUGCUCUUCGGAGUAAAGCUUCGGCGCUUUGGGAACAGCUUGCGUAUGAUUAGCUAGUUGGUGAGGUAAUGGCUCACCAAGGCGACGAUCAUUAGCUGGUCUGAGAGGAUGAUCAGCCACACUGGGACUGAGACACGGCCCAGACUCCUACGGGAGGCAGCAGUAGGGAAUUUUCCACAAUGGGGGCAACCCUGAUGGAGCAACGCCGCGUGCAGGAUGAAGGCCUUCGGGUCGUAAACUGCUUUUCUUUGUGACGAAUAUGACGGUAGCAGAGGAAUAAGGGUCGGCUAACUACGU
rnacentral:rRNA from 1 species